GAUGAGUUAAAGUAUUUGGAACAAAGUCUGUGGAGUAAGUGUUAUUAAUAUGAUAUCAUAGAAAUAUAAUCAGUUAUAGUACGUAAAUACAACUCUGGGUGUCACAUUUAUGACCUGCUAUGUCAGUAAUGUCUUCUGCACUUACACACUCCUUUUCCCAAUGUCACUUUCCAAACACCUUUUCCAAGCUGAUGAGGGAAUUUUUUAAACCUGUAGCCGAGUGUGCUUCCCUCCUAGGUGAGGCUCGAGACCACGCUUGCCCAAGGCCUGGCGGGGGGCAAGCAGAGCUUGUGCUUGGAGUGGAUUGUGGUGACUGGCGUCCUGUCACCAGCAGCCUGGGGACCAUUAUGUGGCACCACCGGGAAAGGACGCGUGAAUACUGGUCAGCGCUCGGUGCCUAAGCGUCCCUGUGCUCAGGUUCGGGUCACCUCUUCUACAGCAUAAGCCGACGGACCCUUCAGCGAACACGGCUUCAGAUCCUCAGGUCCACUGCACCCUGGACUUCUCUGCCCACAUACGUCACAGGCACCUGCAGCUCAGCAUCCAAACCUUAAUCUGUUUCUGUGUCAAACGUUACCCUGCCUUGAGCAUUUCCUACCCAAAAAAUGAGGGCUUGCUGCCGUCUUGGGCGGCACGAGCUUAUUUAGCAGCUGUGCAGGAGAAUGUUAUCUAAAAGUCACAGAGGGCACUGUUUCCGGCAACAAAAGAAAACUGGGGUUUACACACAAUGGAGUGCUACUCUGCCAUAAAGAAGGGUGAACUUGAGUCAACUGUAGGAAAACGGAUGCCCCUGCAGGUGUUAAAGUGAAGUGAAAUAAAUCAGACGCACAAGGGUAAAUUGCCGUAUGGUUUCUCUUCUGUGAGGAACUCAAAGCGUAAAUAAAGAGCAAGGUAAAAGGCAGAUGGUAGGAGACAAGGAGAUAGUUCUUUUGAAAAGGGGAAGAGGACCAGGAGACAGGGCAGGAACAGGGAGAGGAGGGCAAGGAAAAGUAAAAGAAUUAAGACAUGUUACAUACAUGUACCAGCUUCUCACAAUGAAUAAAAUCCCCUGUACUAAUACUACACACACAUACAGCGGUUUGCGAUACGUGUUCGUGACUCCUCGAGACUAAUGGUUACCCUUGGAAGGAAGAGCUGUCCUGAGGGGAGUGCGGGGUGGCCAGGGGAGAGGACCCCUCGGUGUUCAGGAAUGAAGGGCCAGCCACUCCUCCGCUUAGCACUUCCCAAGCCGUGGGUUCCCUGGUGCGCCCCUCAGUUCAUUCUGGGCCUUAAAUGCUUAAGUAUUGAAAACACAUACAGACACAUUAACUGUGCCUAAGUACUUUUUCACUUGCAGCAGUUACUUAAAAUAGCUUCUGUCUGCUGCUGUUUCUGUGUCUCGGGUUAAACUGACCUGGCAGUGCUCUUUACUGGAAGAUGCGGGGCUGAGUCCUCCGGGUCAGCACAGGCGCUCCGACACCUGCCCAGGCCCGUCCCAGCACCCC
rnacentral:lncRNA from 1 species